rnacentral:lncRNA from 1 species
GUCAUCCUCCGCUCCAGGAAGCAUCUUGCCGGGGUUGGGGUCAAUCCCGGGCAGGCCUGAGGAGGAGAGCGGGCGGCCUCCGUCAGUCCUCUCCGGUGAGGCCUUUGACAAGAGGGGCCAAGAUCGAUGCUACCAAGUGCCAUUUGCUUCAGUGCAUUUUGUUUGAUGUGAGUUCUUCCUCAGCUUCUUCUUUGAUGGAAUUUUUGUUCCUGCUACAAUGGACAGUCAGCGACCAUGGCCUCUGAAAUUCUAUCUGUUCGUGGCCUUGGAGAGCUGACACUUUGCUUCUUGUGCAGGAAUCUGUUCAUGAAGGAAUCUGCAGUCCUAACAAAGAAGAUGGAAAGAGUACUCCUGGAAAGUGAAA